rnacentral:rRNA from 1 species
AAUAACCGGGGAGGAAAGAAAACUGAGAGAACACAGGGAUUGCCCUAGUAACGGCGAGUGAAGCGGCAACAGCUCAAAUUUGAAAUCUGGCUUCGGCCCGAGUUGUAAUUUGCAGAGGAAGCUUUAGGCGCGGCACCAACUGAGUCCCCUGGAACGGGGCGCCACAGAGGGUGAGAGCCCCGUAUAGUUGGACGCCUAGCCUGUGUAAAGCUCCUUCGACGAGUCGAGUAGUUUGGGAAUGCUGCUCAAAAUGGGAGGUAAAUUUCUUCUAAAGCUAAAUACCGGCCAGAGACCGAUAGCGCACAAGUAGAGUGAUCGAAAGAUGAAAAGCACUUUGAAAAGAGGGUUAAAUAGCACGUGAAAUUGUUGAAAGGGAAGCGCUUGUGACCAGACUUGCGCCCGGCUGAUCAUCCGGUGUUCUCACCGGUGCACUCUGCCGGGCUCAGGCCAGCAUCGGUUCUCGCGGGGGGAUAAAGGUCCUGGGAACGUAGCUCCUCCGGGAGUGUUAUAGCCCAGGGCGUCAUGCCCUCGCGGGGACCGAGGUUCGCGCAUCUGCAAGGAUGCUGGCGUAAUGGUCAUCAGCGACCCGUCUUGAAACACGGACCAAGGAGUCAAGGUUUUGCGCGAGUGUUUGGGUGUAAAACCCGCACGCGUAAUGAAAGUGAACGUAGGUGAGAGCUUCGGCGCAUCAUCGACCGAUCCUGAUGUUUUCGGAUGGAUUUGAGUAGGAGCGUUAAGCCUUGGACCCGAAAGAUGGUGAACUAUGCUUGGAUAGGGUGAAGCCAGAGGAAACUCUGGUGGAGGCUCGCAGCGGUUCUGACGUGCAAAUCGAUCGUCAAAUCUGAGCAUGGGGGCGAAAGACUAAUCGAACCAUCUAGUAGCUGGUUACCGCCGAAGUUUCCCUCAGGAU